UAGGGAAUCUUCCACAAUGGACGAAAGUCUGAUGGAGCAACGCUGCGUGAGUGAAGAAGGGUUUCGGCUCGUAAAACUCUGUUGUUAAAGAAGAACAUAUCUGAGAGUAACUGUUCAGGUAUUGACGGUAUUUAACCAGAAAGCCACGGCUAACUACGUGCCAC
rnacentral:rRNA from 1 species